AGAGGAUCGCUUGAGCCCAGGAGGCAGAGGUUAUAGUGAGCUGAGACUGCGCCACUGUACUCCAGCCUGGGUGACAACAAGA
rnacentral:snRNA from 1 species